GGGCUUGUACAGGUUUCGACGGGGAUUUUGAAUUCGGAGAAGCAAGUCGUAUGGUAAUGCGUUAAAUUCCAAAUUAAAUAUAAACGCAGACGAAAAAUUUGCACUUGCUGCCUAAUGGCAGCUGUCAGCUCUAGUGCACCUGCACAUUAGAUAACUGGCAUCGACCUUGCAGGAAACGACUUAUGCAAAGCUUUGAGCAUAUGGGCGUAUUAUGAAGCUACUAAACUGUGUAUCGUGUCAAUUCGAGACGCAGGGAGGGAAUUCCAGUUAAUUGACUAAGCUUGUAGAAGUACGAGGGAUGGAUUUUCGGACAGGGGUUCGAUUCCCCUCAGGUCCACU
rnacentral:tmRNA from 1 species